AAAAAAAAAAAAAAGAUUUGUAGAAUCUUUUCCUAUUAUAUCGUAACAACACAUCCUCAUGUAAUCCCCACGCCCCUUAUUUACAGAAAAACCGUUUCAACGGGUCAUCACAGUCCCUUUUAUGCCUCUUCCAAUCUGGAGCGACCGCACCACCGCCAGCGACAAAAUCCAAAUAAUCGAUGAAGAUUCUGUAAUGUAGUUGAAAUAGAACCAUCAAACCUUGGGAUUUGGUUCAGCAAGAAAAAUGUCAUCGACAUGGAACUCAUUGUUGGAUGGUGAUGGCUCCACAGGUAAUUUCUUUAAUUUAAUCAUCAUUCACGCA